rnacentral:rRNA from 1 species
CAAUAGCGUAUAUUAAAGUUGUUGCGGUAAAAAAGCUCGUAGUUGGAUUUCUACCGAAGAUAGCCGGUCGGGUCUUCGACCUUGUAUCUGGUUUUGUCUUUGGUAUCCUCAUAGGGAACGUUUCUGCGCUUUAUUGCGUGGUGCGGUAUCUAUGACUUUUACUUUGAGGAAAUUAGAGUGUUCACGGCAGGCAAACGCCUUGAAUAUAUUAGCAUGGAAUAAUAACAUAGGAUCUUCGUCCUAUUUUGUUGGUUUCUAGGGCUAAGAUAAUGAUUAAUAGGGAUAAUUGGGGGCAUCUGUAUCAACGCGUCAGAGGUGGAAUUCUUGGAUUGCGUUGCGACAAACUACUGCGAAAGCAUUUGCCACGGAUGUUUUCAUUGA